rnacentral:lncRNA from 1 species
AAGGUUACGAGCAAAACUACAACAUAUCUAUUCAAUUUUUCGUUUUUUUUCUUUGAAAAUGGAGUCGCUUAUUUGAUAAGUGUAAACAAGUGAAAAUGGAACAUUGGGCCAGAGCAAGAUAGGGAUCCUUAUCCUUGGAUAAUUUGGUACAUUUGGAAGGCUAGGAAUGAAAAACUCUUCAGGGGAAUAGAUAGAGAUCCUUUGGAACUAGUUAGACAUGCAGAGAGUGAAUGCCAAGCCUGGUAGGAUGCUAAUGAAGUGGUACAAACAGUGGCACAAGAUAAUACAAAUGAGGAUCCCCAAGUCGUAAGCUUGGGAAAUAUUUGCUUGAUAGAUGGAUCUUGGACAUCUUCUGCUAACUUUAGUGGAAGCGGAUGGGCAUGGAUGGAUAGUUCUGGGAACACUCAACUUAUGGGGACAAGAAAUUUCCCCCGACGCGAAUCAUCCUUGCACUCAGAAGUAGAAGUGUUGCGGUGGGCGAUGGAGAAUAUGCUGCAACAUUCGACCUGCCAGAGCUUUGGGACAGACUGUAAGGAACUAAUUGAAAUGAUAAAGGACUCUCAGGCGUGGCCAAGCUUUUCGACGGAAUUGGAGAAGAUAGAGACGCUACAGAUAUGCUUCCCGGCUUUCAACAUCACUCACGUUCCACGGGCACAUAAUCAGAUUGCUGAUUUUUUGGUUAAGACUGCUAGAUCGUUCCAUAGGGAACUACAUUUUGUUGGUUGUUCUAUUCCGGUUUGGUUAUCCAGACCACCUCAAGUUUGAGUAAUAGAAUGGCCUUUUGAUGUCAAAAAAAAAAAACAAAUGAAAAUGGAACCGCUAAAAACAGAUAACUAACUAUGAAGUAGUUUUGGACUUUUGAAUCUUUGUCACAAAAAAAAAAAAAAACCUUUUGAGUUGACUGUCAAAGUCAACUU